rnacentral:sRNA from 1 species
AAGGAUCAUUAGUGAACGCCCUCACGGGCUUAUAACUAUUCCAAACCUCUGUGAACCGUGCCCUUCGGGGCUAUUUUACAAACAUGGUGUAAUGAACGUCAUAUAUCAUAACAAAACAAAACUUUCAACAACGGAUCUCUUGGCUCUCGCAUCGAUGAAGAACGCAGCGAAAUGCGAUAAGUAAUGUGAAUUGCAGAAUUCAGUGAAUCAUCGAAUCUUUGAACGCACCUUGCGCCCUCUGGUAUUCCGGAGGGCAUGCCUGUUUGAGUGUCAUGUAGACUCAAUCCCUCGGGUUUCCGAGGAGAUUGGACUUGGGUGUUGCCGCUCUGCCGGCUCGCCUUAAAAGACUUAGCGGGAUAGCACCGUAGUCGGCGUAAUAAGUUUCGUCGGUGAAGGUUGUGAUGACUGCUUACAAUCGCCCUCGGGCAAUUUUUGACUCUGACCUCAAAUCAGGUAGGACUACCCGCUGAACUUAAGCAUAUCAAUAAGCGGAGGAAAAGAAACUAACAAGGAUUCCCUUAGUAGCGGCGAGCGAAGCGGGAAGAGCUCAAAUUUGAAAGCUGGCGUCCUUCGGGCGUCCGCAUUGUAAUCUAUAGAGGCGUUUUCUGUGCUGGACCGUGUCCAAGUCCCUUGGAACAGGGUAUCAAAGAGGGUGACAAUCCCGUACUUGACACGACAACCAGUGCUCUGUGAUACGUCUUCUACGAGUCGAGUUGUUUGGGAAUGCAGCUCAAAAUGGGUGGUGAAUUCCAUCUAAAGCUAAAUAUUGGCGAGAGACCGAUAGCGAACAAGUACCGUGAGGGAAAGAUGAAAAGCACUUUGGAAAGAGAGUUAAACAGUAUGUGAAAUUGUUGAAAGGGAAACGAUGGAGGUCAGUCGUGUCUGUGGGAUUCAGCCGUCUCCGGCGGUGUACUUCCCACAGACGGGUCAACAUCAGUUUUGGUCGGCGGAUAAAGGCAGGAGGAAGGUGGCACCCCCGGGUGUGUUAUAGCCUCUUGUUGCAUACGCUGGCCGAGACUGAGGAAUGCAGCUCGCCUUUAUGGCCGGGGUUCGCCCACGUUCGAGCUUAGGA